GUCCUGGUCUACUGUACUUCUUUAACGUACUAUUAGUUGACAGUUCUGACCAUUGUUAAUGUAACCUUCAGUCUCCAGGGUCUAUUAGUACCAUUUUGUAUUGUAAGCAAAAGUUCAUCAUCUCAGAAUAAAAACAGCAUGAAGAAACCACACAGGCACAGCUGGGUCCCAAACAGCAUUGUUUAUUAGAUUUAGGCAAACAUGACAGCGCUUGCUACUUACAUUCUGCUGUUCUGAUUGGUUGCUGCUGGGUUCUAAAAUCUGAACCCAAUGAAUUAUAUCAAGUGAAGCUAUCUACUCCUAUACAACAAAACAAGAUGAUAUCAAGUGAGGACAAGAACAAUCACAUAAGGAAGACUAGAUGGAUACAGCUAGAGACCUGAAUUUCCUGUGUUUCAUUUUACAGGAUCCAAUCACAGCUGCAAUACUAUGCUGGGGAAUUUCAACAAAGCCCUUUGUAAAUAUAUAGAUUAUUAACUGAUAAUUCCUUUUGCAUCAGUUUACUACAAUAUUGCUAUACAAUCAAACAAACACCUUAUUUAGUGAUUAUAGAAAAGGACCUGGGGAAAGAUGACCAUGGGAUCUAGUUCAGGCUGAAUGAUUCACUUACAAUUUAACAUUAACAAAUCUUUAGACUAUAGCUAAAUGGUCUUUUCUGCCUCUGAUUUCUAUUAUACUAUAUGAGACUUGCUACUUUUAGGAUUCCAGUAGAGCUCAACAACCAGAUUUGUUCUGGAGAAAGACGAGACUAAGGGAACUGGUGAAAAAGAUAGAUGGUAAGAGGCAUUCGUGUGUAAUAUACUACAGUGCAUAUAGUGUGUGUGUGUGUAUAUAGAUAUAGAUAUAGACACAUACACAAAAUGGAGAGGUAUGAUUUUCCCAGUCCUGAAAUAUAUUUUAGUCAUUCUGUAUUCAGUCAGUCCACCUAGAAAGCUGGGUAUAAGCAAUAACUAAAGUAAGCUGCUUUCUUGGAUAAAGAAUUUGGGGAUGAGGGGAGAGGAAAUCAGUGAAAAUCCCAUACUCUGAGCAUAACUAAAAACUGCUCUCAGCUACAAAAAUAUGUAGAUGACAAACCUCUUACCGCUUUAAACUGGACUGUAAACGAAAUGUGAAACUGAAGAAAUGUCUCUAAAAUUGUGUUUGGCUGACCUGAGAAACAACAAUGUAUUUAUCCCAUUUCUUUCUCCCUUAAUGCUUACCUGCCUCUCCUCACUCAUUCCGAAAGAGAGAGAGAAAGAGAGAGGACGCAAAAUCUAUUAGAAAUAUCUAUUAGAAAUAUAGUGAGACUCCUAUGGUACAUUUCUGACAUUAAUUUUAUAGGCUGCAUUUAAAAAUAUAUAUACACCUGAAUGUUGCAUAUGAAAAAUGUAAGCUCAUUUAGAUAGAGGAGCCUCAAGGUAAUUUUUUUAUGGUUUUUAGGAAUACUACACAGAAAGUUGCAUCCUCCACCUACCAUCUUCCUUCUCCCUUAGUUACUAGAAGGGAAGCUUUCUCCUCACUCUCUUAUAGUCACUUUCUCUGCCUCAGUAACAAGGAAUGCAUUUUUCCCCAUGAGACGCUCAAUUCUUGAACAGAGAAUUGCUCUUGCAGGCCCAGGCGUGUGUCAGUCAUACCAGUCAGUGGCAUCCUUGACACCUGCAAUCGGGGGCAUUUCAUCCAGAAAGAGUACAGGUGAUGGAUGGGAAACAGCUCUA